GAUGAACGCUAGCUACAGGCUUAACACAUGCAAGUCGAGGGGAAACGACAUCGAAAGCUUGCUUUUGAUGGGCGUCGACCGGCGCACGGGUGAGUAACGCGUAUCCAACCUGCCCAUCACUUGGGAAUAACCUUGCGAAAGUAAGACUAAUACCCAAUGAUAUCCCACGAAGGCAUCGGAAUGGGAUUAAAGAUUUAUCGGUGAUGGAUGGGGAUGCGUCUGAUUAGCUUGUUGGCGGGGUAACGGCCCACCAAGGCAACGAUCAGUAGGGGUUCUGAGAGGAAGGUCCCCCACAUUGGAACUGAGACACGGUCCAAACUCCUACGGGAGGCAGCAGUGAGGAAUAUGGGUCAAUGGGCGAGAGCCUGAACCAGCCAAGUAGCGUGCAGGAAGACGGCCCUAUGGGUUGUAAACUGCUUUUAUAAGGGAAUAAAGUGGGUCACGUGUGACUUUUGGCAUGUACCUUAUGAAUAAGGACCGGCUAAUUCCGU
rnacentral:rRNA from 1 species